rnacentral:rRNA from 1 species
UACGUAGGGGGCAAGCGUUGUCCGGAUUUAUUGGGCGUAAAGCGCGUGCAGGCGGUUGGCUAAGUCGGGUGUGAAAGCCUUGAGCUCAACUCAAGAAUUGCGCUCGAUACUGGGUGACUAGAGGACCGGAGAGGAUAGUGGAAUUCCCAGUGUAGUGGUGAAAUACGUAGAGAUUGGGAAGAACACCAGUGGCGAAGGCGGCUAUCUGGACGGUUUCUGACGCUAAGACGCGAAAGCGUGGGGAGCAAACAGG